rnacentral:rRNA from 1 species
UAGGGAAUAUUGCAAAUGGGCGAAAGCCUGAUGUAGCAACGCCGCGUGUGCGAUGAAGGUCUUCGGAUUGUAAAGCACUUUUUGGAGGGAUGAGGAAGGACAGUACCUCCAGAAUAAGCCUCUGCUAACUACGUGCCAGCAGCCGCGGUAGCACGUAGGAGGCAAGCGUUAUUCGGAUUUACUGGGCGUAAAGCGCGUGCAGGCGGUUUGGAAAGUUGGAUGUGAAAGCUCCUGGCUCAACUGGGAGAGGUCGUUCAAAACUUCCAGACUUGAGAGUGGUAGAGGGGGGUGGAAUUCCGGGUAUAGUGGUGAAAUGCGUAGAUAUCCGGAGGAACACCAGUGGCGAAAGCGGCCUCCUGGACCACUUCUGACGCUCAGACGCGGAAGCUAGGGUAGCAAACGG